rnacentral:lncRNA from 1 species
AGGGCCAAGACCUAGAGGACGUGUACCUGAGAUUUUGGAGCCUGCUGGAAGCUUUGGUGCUGCUUGGUGUUGCAGUGGUCACCCCUGACUUCAGCCCAUGCCAGCUGGAAUGUCCCUGCUGGAGCGGUUUCCAGCUGGAUCACUCCGAAAUGUGCUGCAUCCAUUCCUUGCAGCAGAGCAACAAUGUCAUUUUGCAGCUGAGAAGGAUCAUAAUGGAAAGUGACACUGAAAAAUCACAGGUGGGCAAGAGUUGUGGCAACACCUUUUAGAGCUGAAAAAUAUCCAUCCAAGAGAUGAUGUAGUGCUUUAAAGUCGUGAGUCAUCAUCAGUUUUGGGGAGAAAUCUCUCUCAAGGUCAUUCUGUUUCCUGCAUCAGCUGCUCACUUACAUCGAGGGGACCCUGCAGCGCACGGCGGUGCCUUGAGAUGCCAAUUGCUCUGAUUUGGAAUUUUGUGUACAGUAAUUAAUGAGCCAGGUAGCAGCAGACAUGUGUUACCCCGAGAUAACACGCUCCUUGGAAGUAUCAUGAGGCAGGAGGUGAAGUGAGUGCCUCCAGUGACCUGGGA